rnacentral:rRNA from 1 species
UACGAAGGGUGCAAGCGUUACUCGGAAUUACUGGGCGUAAAGCGUGCGUAGGUGGUCUGUUAAGUCUGAUGUGAAAGCCCUGGGCUCAACCUGGGAAUUGCAUUGGAUACUGGCAGGCUAGAGUGCGGUAGAGGGUAUUGGAAUUCCCGGUGUAGCAGUGAAAUGCGUAGAGAUCGGGAGGAACACCAGUGGCGAAGGCGACUACCUGGACCAGCACUGACACUGAGGCACGAAGGCCAGGGGAGCAAACGGG